UACGUAGGGUGCAAGCGUUGUCCGGAAUUAUUGGGCGUAAAGAGCUCGUAGGCGGUCUGUCGCGUCUGCUGUGAAAACCUGGGGCUUAACCCCGGGCCUGCAGUGGGUACGGGCAGACUAGAGUGCGGUAGGGGAGACUGGAAUUCCCGGUGUAGCGGUGAAAUGCGCAGAUAUCGGGAGGAACACCGGUGGCGAAGGCGGUUCUCUGGGCCUUACCUGACGCUGAGGAGCGAAAGCGUGGGGAGCGAACAGG
rnacentral:rRNA from 1 species